rnacentral:rRNA from 1 species
GAUGAACGCUGGCGGCGUGCCUAAUACAUGCCAGUCGAACGAACGGACUAGAAGCGUGUUUUCCUGCUGUUAGCGACGGACGGGUGAGUAACGCGUAGAUUACCUACUAAUUUGACUUAGAUAACUUCGGAAAACCGGAGCCUAUACCAGCUAAUACUUCCAACCGCAUGGUGCAGGAGUGAAACAGGGUUUGGGUGUCAACUAUAGACGGAUCCGCGGUGGAUUGGCUAGUUGGUAAGGUAACGGCUUACCAAGGCGACGAUGCAUAGCCGAGCUGAGAGGGUGAUCAGCCACACUGGAACUGAGACACGGUCCAGACUCCUACGGGAGGCAGCAGUGGGGAAUAUUGGGCAAUGGGCGAAAGCCUGAUCGAGCAAUACCGCGUGGGUGAAGAAGGUCUUCGGGUCGUAAAACUCUGUUGUUAGGGAAGAACAUAUGUGUGAGUAACUGUGCACAUCGUGACGGUACCUAAUCAAAAAGCACCGGCUAACUACGUG